GUGGCCAUAGCUCAGUUGGCAGAGCCCCGGAUUGUGAGUCCGACUGUCGCCGGUUCGAGCCCGGCUGGCCACC
rnacentral:tRNA from 1 species